rnacentral:lncRNA from 1 species
GUCAAAGGUACUAAGGAGGAUAAGGGAGAUGAUGAUUCAAGCUCUAAGACCGAAGAAGAUGACAAGAAGAAAGUUCAUCUAGUUAAGGAGAAGGAUACUCGAGCGAGGAAUCUUAUUUGUGCAAGCUUGACUAAUAUGGUCUUAAGGAAGGUCAUGAAAAAAACAACGGCUUUGGGAGUAUGGAGAGCUCUAGAGGGUGAUUACCAAACAAAGACUCUACCUA